rnacentral:rRNA from 1 species
AACGAACGCUGGCGGCAUGCCUAGCACAUGCCAGUCGAACGAGACCUUCGGGUCUAGUGGCGCACGGGUGCGUAACGCGUGGGAACCUGCCCUUAGGUUCGGAAUAACUCCCCGAAAGGGGUGCUAAUACCGGAUAAUGUCUUCGGACCAAAGAUUUAUCGCCUUUGGAUGGGCCCGCGUUGGAUUAGCUAGUUGGUAGGGUAAAAGCCUACCAAGGCGACGAUCCAUAGCUGGUCGGAGAGGAUGAUCAGCCACACUGGGACUGAGACACGGCCCAGACUCCUACGGGAGGCAGCAGUGGGGAAUAUUGGACAAUGGGCGAAAGCCUGAUCCAGCAAUGCCGCGUGAGUGAUGAAGGCCUUAGGGUUGUAAAGCUCUUUUACCCGGGAUGAUAAUGACAGUACCGGGAGAAUAAGCGCCGGCUAACUCCGUG